UACGUAGGGGGCAAGCGUUGUCCGGAUUUAUUGGGCGUAAAGGGCUCGUAGGCGGUCUGUCGCGUCGGGAGUGAAAACUCGGGGCUUAACUCCGAGCCUGCUUCUGAUACGGGCAGACUAGAGGUAUGCAGGGGAGAAUGGAAUUCCUGGUGUAGCGGUGAAAUGCGCAGAUAUCAGGAGGAACACCGGUGGCGAAGGCGGUUCUCUGGGCAUGACCUGACGCUGAGGAGCGAAAGUGUGGGGAGCGAACAGG
rnacentral:rRNA from 1 species